rnacentral:rRNA from 1 species
AGCAGCCGCGGUAAUUCCAGCUCCAAUAGCGUAUAUUAAAGUUGUUGCAGUUAAAAAGCUCGUAGUUGAAUUUCGGGAUCAAUACGUCGGUCGUGCCUUCGGUACGUACUGGCGUCAUUGGUUUCUCCCUUCUGACGAACCAUGAUGUCAUUAAUUUGGUGUUAUGGGAAGUUAGGACUGUUACUUUGAAAAAUUAGAGUGUUUAAAGCAGGCAUUAGCUUGAAUACAUUAGCAUGGAAUAAUGAAAUAGGACGUUCGAACCUAUUUUGUUGGUUUCUAGGCUCAACGUAAUGAUUAAUAGGGAUAGUUGGGGGCAUUAGUAUUCAAUUGUCAGAGGUGAAAUUCUUGGAUUUAUUGAAGACUAACUACUGCGAAAGCAUUUGCCAAGGAUGUUUUCAUUAAUCAAGAACGAAAGUUAGGGGAUCGAAGACGAUCAGAUACCGUCGUAGUCUUAACCAUAAACUAUGCCGACUAGGGAUCGGAUGAUGUUAAUUUUUAAUGUACUCAUUCGGCGCCUUAA